UCCCUGGUGGCUUAGUCGGUAAAGAGUCUGCCCACAAUCCAGGAGACCCAGGUUCAAUCCCUGGGUGGGGAA
rnacentral:tRNA from 1 species